rnacentral:rRNA from 1 species
AGCUCCAAUAGCGUAUACUAACGUUGUUGCAGUUAAAAAGCUCGUAGUUGGAUUUUUAAGGGUUUCUGCUUCUAGUGACCAUUAGUGUCUCUAAUGUUGCAGACUCCCCUUAUUUUGCCUCAGUGCUCGCUUGGGAUUGAUUUCCUGAACGUGCUUCUUGGGCGUGUUUACUUUGAGAAAAUUAGAGUGUUCAAAACAGCCUUGUGGUUGUAUAUCAUAGCAUGGAAUAAUAACUGACGACGUCGGUCGUUUUUUGUUGGUUCGGAUGGCUGAUGUAAUGAUUGAUAGAGUUAGUCGGAGGUAUUAGUAUUUUAUCGUUAGAGGUGAAAUUCAUGGAUCGGUAAAAGACUAACAACUGCGAAAGCAUUUAUCUAGGAUUUGCUCU